ACGACUCUCGGCAACGGAUAUCUCGGCUCUCGCAUCGAUGAAGAACGUAGCAAAAUGCGAUACCUGGUGUGAAUUGCAGAAUCCCGCGAACCAUCGAGUUUUUGAACGCAAGUUGCGCCCGAAGCCUUCUGGCGGAGGGCACGUCUGCCUGGGCGUCACGCCAAAAGACACUCCCAACACCCCCCCCACGGGGCGAGGGACGUGGCGUCUGGCCCCCCGCGCCGCAGGGCGAGGUGGGCCGAAGAAGGGGCUGCCGGCGAACCGCGCCGGGCGCAGCACGUGGUGGGCGACAUCAAGUUGUUCUCGGUGCAGCGUCCCAACGCGCGGCCGGCCAUUCGGCCCUAAGGACCCAUCGAGCGACCGAGCUUGCCCUCGGACCGCGACCCCAGGUCAGUCGGGACUACCCGCUGAGUUUAAGCAUAUAAAUAAGCGGAGGAAAAGAAACUUACGAGGAUUCCCCUAGUAACGGCGAGCGAACCAGGAGCAGCCCAGCUUGAGAAUCGGGCGGCCUCGCCGCCCGAAUUGUAGUCUGGAGAGGCGUCCUCAGCGACGGACCGGGCCCAAGUUCUCUGGAAAGGGACGCCUGGGAGGGUGAGAGCCCCGUCCGGCCCGGACCCUGUCGCACCACGAGGCGCCGUCAACGAGUCGGGUUGUUUGGGAAUGCAGCCCAAAUCGGGCGGUAAACUCCGUCCAAGGCUAAAUACAGGCGAGAGACCGAUAGAGAACAAGUACCGCGAGGGAAAGAUGAAAAGGACUUUGAAAAGAGAGUCAAAGAGUGCUUGAAAUUGCCGGGAGGGAAGCGGAUGGGGGCUGGCGACGCGCACCGGCCGUAUGCGGAACGGCUCCUGCUGGUCCGCCGAUCGGCUCGAGGCGUGGACCGUUGUCGCCCACGCCGGCGGCCAAAGCCCGGGGGCCCUAGGCGCCCCCGGCAGCCGUCGUCGGCACGGACGGUAUCCGCGCGCCUCUGGCGCGCCCCUCGGGGCGCUGCGCUGCAAUGGCCUGCGAGCUCCCCAUCCGACCCGUCUUGAAACACGGACCAAUGAGUCUGACAUGCGUGCGAGUCGACGGGUUCAGAAACCUGAGAUGCGCAAGGAAGCUGACGAGCGGGAGGCCCUCACGAGCCGCACCGCUGGCCGACCCUGAUCUUCUGUGAAGGGUUCGAGUUGGAGCACGCAUGUCGGGACCCGAAAGAUGGUGAACUAUGCCUGAGCGGGGCGAAGCCAGAGGAAACUCUGGUGGAGGCUCGAAGCGAUACUAACGUGCAAAUCGUUUGUCUGACUUGGGUAUAGGGGCGAAAGACUAAUCGAACCAUCUAGUAGUUUGUUCCCUCCGAAGUUUCCCUUAGGAUAGCUGGAGCCCACACGAGUUCUAUCGGGUAAAGCCAAUGAUUAGAGGCAUCGGGGGCGCAACGCCCUCGACCUAUUCUCAAACUUUAAAUAGGUAGGACGGCGCGGCUGCUUCGGUGAGCCAUGCCACGGAAUCGGGAGCUCCAAGUGGGCCAUUUUUGGUAAGCAGAACUGGCGAUGCGGGAUGAACCGGAAGCCAGGUUACGGUGCCAAACUGCGUGCUAACCUAGAACCCACAAAGGGUGUUGGUCGAUUAAGACAGCAGGACGGUGGUCAUGGAAGUCGAAAUCCGCUAAGGAGUGUGUAACAACUCACCUGCCGAAUCAACUAGCCCCGAAAAUGGAUGGCGCUGAAGCGCGCGACCCACACCCGGCCAUCUGGGCGAGUGACAUGCCCCGAUGGGUAGGAGGGCGCGGCGGCCGCCGCAAAACCCGGGGCGCGAGCCCGGGCGGAGCAGCCGUCGGUGCAGAUCUUGGUGGUUGUAGCAAAUAUUCAAAUGAGAACUUUGAAGGCCGAAGAGGAGAAAGGUUCCAUGUGAACGACACUUGCACAUGGGUAAGUCGAUCCUAAGGGACGGGGGAAACCCGGCAGAUAGCGCGAUCACGCACGUCACCCGAAAGGGAAUCGGGUUAAGAUUUCCCGAGCCGGGACGUGGCGGCAGACAGCGACGUUAGGAAGUCCGGAGACGCCGGCGGGGGCCUCGGGAAGAGUUAUCUUUUCUGCUUAACGGCCCGCCAACCCUGGAAUCGGUUCAGCCGGAGGUAGGGUCCAGUGGCCGGAAGAGCACCGCACAUCGCGCGGUGUCCGGUGCGCCCCCAGCGGCCCUUGAAAAUCUGGAGGACCGAAUACCGUCCACGCCCGGUCGUACUCAUAACCGCAUCAGGUCUCCAAGGUGAACAGCCUCUGGCCAAUGGAACAAUGUAGGCAAGGGAAGUCGGCAAAACAGAUCCAUAACUUCGGGAAAAGGAUUGGCUCUGAGGGUUGGGCUCGGGGGUCCCGACCCCGAACCCGUCGGCUGCUGGCGGAAUGCUCGAGCUGCUCGCACGGCGAGAGCGGGCCGCCGCGUGCCGGCCGGGGGACGGACCGGGAACGGCCCCCUCGGGGGCAUUCCACGGGCGUCGAACAACCGACUCAGAACUGGUACGGACAAGGGGAAUCCGACUGUUUAAUUAAAACAAAGCAUUGCGACGGUCCUCGAGUGUCACACCCGGAUUUUAGGGUCCAAAACCCGGGCGCGAACAUAAUCACCAGGUGUGCUGGGACCAAGUCUCACACAUAUGAUGAAUCAUGGCACAGGAUCGAAUGUCACAUCUUUACUACAUAAUAGGCGUUUUACACAAAAUAAAUAAAUAUUUACAUCAUAAUGAGACAACGGUCCAACAACCCAAAGUUGACUGGGAGACGACGACCUAGACCUCUCACGAACUCGUCACAGCAUCCUCCAUGCGCCACAUCCUGCGGUNNNNNNNNNNACGUUCAUCGCUCAACAAGUUGUGGGGAAUAAUGUGCAUGAACUCGCCAAAGGUGGGAGCUCACGUGAAGUGUAAGGCUUACCAAAGAGGAUGGUUAGAGCUGAGCAUUGCUUUUAAAGUUGGUCAAAAUUUUAUUAGCAAUUACUAAGUAUAAGUAAAUACCAACCCAAUUAAAUAGUAGAACAAAAGUAACAACCUCACCUGCGAUGCAAUGCAUAUGACAAAUUGAGUUUAAGUUCCAUAAUUUAAUCAUGUGAGUGUCUGAGCCGCUCAUGACCGUGAGCACGGCUAGUAUACCAGUUUUACACUCUGCAGAGGUUGCGCAUCUUUACCCACAAGUCGUGUUACCCAUUUGCCACAGAGUUGAUCAGACUCCAUACACCUCUACCAAGGAAGCGAGGCAGGGUACCACUACGAGGCCUUUACAAAGUUCCACUA
rnacentral:rRNA from 1 species